AUGAUUCAAUCGCCGAAUCCGAAAGGAGCGGGGGACCCAUAUAAUAGGGGUGAAUCACCUCUGGUGUAGGGCAUUGCCUUGUGUCCGAACCCGUCAGCUAACCUCGUAGGCAAAGUUAAGGAGAGGA
rnacentral:sRNA from 2 species